UACGGAGGGUGCAAGCGUUAUCCGGAAUCAUUGGGUUUAAAGGGUCCGCAGGCGGUCUUAUAAGUCAGUGGUGAAAGCCUACAGCUCAACUGUAGAACUGCCAUUGAUACUGUAAGACUUGAAUUCGGUCGAAGUGGGCGGAAUAUGACAUGUAGCGGUGAAAUGCUUAGAUAUGUCAUAGAACACCGAUAGCGAAGGCAGCUCACUAGGCCUGGAUUGACGCUCAGGGACGAAAGCGUGGGGAGCAAACAGG
rnacentral:rRNA from 1 species